ensembl:lncRNA
AUGAUAUUUACAUUGACAAUUCCAUCCGUUCUCAAAAAAUAUUGUUCUCUUAUCAGGACGAGUUCAGAUUAUAUUGAAGGACACAUGGAGUAUAUAAUCCAAGAAAAUGAAAGUGGUAUGAUCAGUACCACUACGGUGCCCCUGAUUCCAGUGUCAAUCACCCCUAAAGUCAACAUAGUGGGGUCAGCUCUCAUCUACGCUCAUGUGGUCUUCAACUCUUCCACACCCAUCGCCAGUGACACCCCAGCAGUUAACACUACACGCACACUUCUGUUGUCUUUGUCUGCAAACUUCUAUCAAACAAUUCAGGUGGAGAAUGUGACAUAUGAACAAAUAUCAGACACUUCAUAUGCAGUCAUCAUCAGCUUAAGGCUAAACAAUGUCAGCAUGCCAGAGAAAAGUGAAUCUGCAAACGACACAUAUAACCAAAUUCAGAAUACUAUUAACAACAUGGUAAGUACAGUUUAA